UACGGAGGAUGCGAGCGUUAUCCGGAUUUACUGGGUGUAAAGGGAGCGCAGGCGGCGUGGCAAGUCAGAUGUGAAAACCCGGGGCCCAACCCCGGGACUGCAUUUGAAACUGCCAUGCUGGAGUGCCGGAGAGGUAAGUGGAAUUCCUAGUGUAGCGGUGAAAUGCGUAGAUAUUAGGAGGAACACCAGUGGCGAAGGCGGCUUACUGGACGGUAACUGACGCUGAGGCUCGAAAGCGUGGGGAGCAA
rnacentral:rRNA from 1 species